CUGUGAUGGCGGCGGCAGCCGCGGUUCGGGGCGCCGGUGGGGCUGUGCCGCUCCUGACUCGGCGUGGGCCCCGCGCCAUGGGGAGCAGCCGCGGCGGGCGGCUCGCCUGAGGCGGCGGCGACAGCGGAGGGAGGGCGCGGCACUGCCGAGGGAGCCCCGCCGCGGGGGCCGCGACCCGCGCCGCCGGGGAUGCUGCGCUGGGUCCGGCAGCAGCUGGGUUUUGACCCACCGCAUCAAAGCGACACAAGAACUAUUUAUAUAGCAAACCGUUUUCCCCAGCAUGGCCAUUAUGUUCCUCAGAAGUUUGCAGACAACAGAAUCAUAUCAUCCAAGUAUACAGUGUGGAAUUUUGUUCCAAAAAACUUAUUUGAGCAGUUCAGAAGAGUAGCCAACUUUUAUUUUCUCAUUAUAUUUUUGGUUCAGCUCAUGAUAGAUACCCCUACCAGUCCUAUUACCAGUGGAUUGCCAUUAUUCUUUGUCAUAACUGUGACAGCCAUAAAACAGGGCUAUGAGGACUGGCUGCGACAUAAAGCAGACAAUGAAGUUAACGGUGCUCCAGUUUAUGUUGUUCGAAGUGGUGGCCUUGUGAAAACCAGAUCUAAAAACAUUCGGGUGGGAGACAUUGUCAGAGUAGCCAAAGAUGAGACUUUCCCUGUUGAUCUGGUGCUCCUGUCAUCUGACCGAGCGGACGGUUCAUGCCACGUUACCACUGCAAGUUUGGAUGGAGAGACCAAUCUUAAGACACAUGUUGCAGUCCCAGAAACAGCAGUGCUGCAGUCUGUUGCCAACCUGGACAAACUGGUAGCUGUUAUAGAAUGUCAGCAGCCAGAAGCAGAUCUGUACAGAUUUGUUGGAAGAAUAACUGUAAGUCAACAAGCUGAAGAAAUAGUACGACCUCUUGGGCCUGAAAGUCUCUUACUUCGUGGAGCAAGAUUAAAAAACACUAAAGAAAUAUUUGGUGUUGCUGUGUAUACAGGUAUGGAGACAAAGAUGGCAUUAAAUUACAAGAGUAAAUCUCAGAAACGGUCAGCAGUAGAAAAGUCCAUGAAUUCCUUUUUGAUUAUUUAUCUAAUAAUCCUCCUCUUUGAAGCCAUUCUGAGCACUAUUUUAAAGUAUGCAUGGCAAGCUGAAGAGAAAUGGGAUGAGCCUUGGUAUAAUGAAAAAACAGAGCAUGAAAGAAACAGCAGUAAGAUCCUGAGAUUUAUUUCAGAUUUUCUUGCUUUUCUGGUACUUUACAAUUUUAUCAUACCCAUUUCACUCUAUGUGACUGUUGAGAUGCAGAAAUUUCUUGGGUCUUUUUUUAUUGGCUGGGAUCUUGACCUCUAUCAUGAAGAAACAAACCAGAGAGCACAAGUAAAUACUUCAGACCUCAAUGAGGAAUUGGGACAGGUAGAGUAUGUGUUUACAGACAAAACUGGCACAUUAACUGAAAAUGAGAUGCAGUUUCGGGAGUGCUCUAUUAAUGGCAUAAAGUACCAAGAGGUCAAUGGUAAACUAACUCCAGAGGGAUUUUCUGAAGAUUCUCCUGAUGGAAAUAGGCAUGGUUUGGUGAAAGAGGAAGAGCUCUUCUUGAAAGCAGUUUGUCUGUGCCAUACAGUGCAGAUCAAUGCAGAUCAGACAGAUGGUGCUGAUGGUCCCUGGCAUGCCAAUGGAAUAACAUCCCCCCUGGAAUAUUACGCUUCUUCUCCAGAUGAGAAGGCUUUGGUGGAAGCUGCGAGCCGGGUUGGAGUAGUAUUUACUGGAAUUAGUGGAGACAGUAUGGAAGUAAAAAGCCUUGGAAAACCAGAGAGGUAUAAAUUGCUUCAUGUUUUGGAGUUUGAUCCAAAUCGCAGACGAAUGAGUGUCAUUGUAGAGAGUCCCUCAGGGGAGAAGCUUUUAUUCACAAAGGGAGCAGAAUCUUCCAUUCUUCCUCGCAGUAAGAGUGGAGAAAUAGAUAAAACAAGGAUACAUGUGGAUGAAUUUGCUUUGAAAGGCCUAAGAACUUUGUGUGUGGCCUACAGAAGAUUCACACCUGAGGAGUACCAAGAAAUUGGCAAACGCCUUCAUGAGGCCAGGACUGCCUUACAGCAGCGGGAAGAGAAAUUAGCAGAUGUGUUCAACUUCAUAGAAAGGGAUCUGGAGUUGCUUGGGGCUACAGGAGUAGAAGACAAACUGCAGGAGAAAGUCCAAGAAACUAUAGAAGCCCUCAGGCUGGCUGGUAUCAAAGUGUGGGUGCUCACUGGAGACAAGCACGAAACAGCUGUUAGUGUCAGUUUAUCCUGUGGACACUUUCACAGAACCAUGAACAUCCUUGAGCUUGUGCAGCACAAGUCAGACAGUACCUGUGCAGAACAGCUGAGGCAGCUAGCCAAGAGAAUAAAGGAAGACCAUGUUAUCCAGCAUGGACUGGUUGUGGAUGGGACCAGCCUCUCUCUUGCACUCAGGGAACAUGAAAAACUGUUCAUGGAAGUUUGCAAAAACUGUUCUGCAGUGUUGUGCUGUCGCAUGGCACCCCUUCAGAAAGCAAAGGUGGUUCGACUGUUAAAAACCUCUCCGGAGAAGCCCAUAACGUUGGCGAUCGGGGAUGGUGCUAAUGAUGUGAGCAUGAUCCAGGAGGCACAUGUUGGCAUAGGAAUCAUGGGCAAGGAAGGAAGGCAAGCUGUAAGAAACAGUGACUAUGCAAUAGCACGAUUUAAAUUCCUCUCCAAGUUGCUUUUUGUUCAUGGGCACUUUUACUAUAUUAGAAUAGCAACCCUUGUACAGUACUUUUUUUAUAAGAAUGUGUGCUUUAUUACACCACAAUUUUUAUAUCAGUUCUUCUGUUUGUUUUCACAACAAACGCUCUAUGACAGUGUAUACCUGACUUUGUACAAUAUUUGUUUCACUUCCCUGCCUGUCCUCAUCUACAGUCUUUUUGAGCAGCAUGUGCACCCGCAUGUAUUGCAGAGUAAACCUGUGCUCUACAGAGACAUCAGUAAAAAUGCCCAUCUGGGGUUUAAACCAUUUCUUUACUGGACCAUCUUGGGCUUCUUUCAUGCAUUUGUUUUCUUUUAUGGCUCGUAUCUUCUAAUGGGAGAAGACACUUCUCUGCUGGGAAAUGGCCAGAUAUUGAAACCUAACAGGCAAAUGAUGUUUGGGAACUGGACAUUUGGUACUUUGGUCUUCACCGUUAUGGUUAUAACUGUUACGAUGAAGAUGGCACUAGAAACUCACUUCUGGACAUGGAUAAACCAUUUUGUUACUUGGGGAUCCAUUGUAUUUUAUUUCAUAUUCUCCUUGUUUUAUGGGGGAAUUAUCUGGCCAUUUUUACAUACCCAGGACAUGUACUUUGUAUUUGUUCAGCUGUUGUCAAGUGGUUCUGCUUGGUUUGCCAUAAUCCUCAUAGUAGUUGCUUGUUUGUUUAUUGAUGUUGUGAAGAAAGUGCUGUACAGACAUCUGCAACCAACAAGUACUGAAAAAGCUCAGCUUACUGAGGCAGGUUCAGGUAUCAACUGCUUGGACUCCAUGUGCUGCUUCUCAGAUGGGGAAACAGCAUGCACAUCUGUUAGAAGAAUGCUGGAACGACUAAUGGGAAGGUGUAGCCCAACGCGGGUCAGCAGGUGUGGCAUUUCUCUCAAUAGCCUUUGCUGCAGACGAUUCUCCUAUAAACUGGAACCCGAUGAGCCUGCAGCAAUAGAUGUCUAGAAACCAGCUGCAGGUUUUGCUUAUCUAAGUAGAAAAUGCAACUCUUUAUUGUACUUUUUUCAUCCUAAAAGAUUAGCUUCUUGUUUCUUUUUGAGUUUCUUUUGGGAUGUGGAGGGGAAAAACAGUUUUUGAAAGAUUUCUGUUAAAGUGUUUAGUUUGGCUUUACAAGCUCUUGUGUUGUAUCUAUCGUAAUUUCUCUUGAUUUGUACAUUCUUCUCUUUAGAAAAUCAAGCCUUGCUCCUGUUUUUGUUCUCCUUUUUAUGAUUACUUUUUUGCCUUCACAAAUCAGGAGUUGUUUGUAAAGUCGAAAGACUUUUCCCUUUGGUUCUUGAUGUACAACCUCCAAAUAUUUACCUUGGAGCUUGCAUUACUCCUGAAGGUACACAAAAGGCUCACAUUCCCCCCCUUAAAUCUAACUUCAUUGUUAGGAGGAGAGCCUUUAAAUCUUUCAGCCAUUGAUUGAUAUGAAGAUGAAAUAUUUUUGUAGUAUAACUUUUAUAAUCUAUUUCUAAAAUCAGAGUGAUUGACAGAACAGAGUCUUCAGGUUCUAAGAAUUUUCAAUGUUUUUUGGGUUCCAGAAGGUAUAUUGUCAAAAUCAUGUGUGCCAUUCCAAAGUAUGUGCUAAAUAAAUCUUUCCUUCACAAAUCACAUGUGAAACAAAUGUCAGUGGGGUAAAAGCAUGUUGAGUAAUUGAACAUGUCUGCAGAGCAACUCUGCUCUUGCAGUCAGCCCAUCUGGGAGAGGAGCUCUACUGAAUCCUCUCAUGUGCCAUCUCCCCAUUUCCAAACAGAGGGAUAGCAAACAAAUAUGGAAAUAUUUGGGGGUAGAAAUAAAAAUAGUCUUUUGUACAUCGUAAUCUCUGUCCCUGAAUGAUAUCAUGGUCCUUCAUUGGUCAAAAGGCAAACCUGAAAACACUGAAUUUCACACAUUUUCAAGGAAACUCAUUUUGUAUUUGAAGAACUUUGUCUCUUUCAGUUAAAGGUUGUGAUAUCAUUCACUGGGUAUCAAAUCUCGUGUGGGUAAUUUACCCUGACAGCUUUGUCAGCUCUGAUUCUGCCUUUAGGUAUUGCCUGGUCUGUAGCUCAUCUCUGUUGGAACUCUUGUGUUGAACACAGUGUCUGUGCUUUCAGUCAGUCUCUCUCUUCUGGCUUGCUUGUGAAAUUUAUUCAAUGUUUCUACAAAUCUAGGGUAUGAGUAUGCAAGAAGUUUCAUUCCAUAUGAAAAAUGAACUGUUACUAUUAAGUACAUUUUUAAUUCAACCUUGCUGUGUAGAAAGCGGGCAUGAUGUGUAAAAUAAACAGUUUAAUAGAAUUUUUAAUCUACAAGGUGAGCAUUUAAUUGGUCUAAAAAUCAACAUUUUGGUAGCAGUUGCUCUAACUUUUCUGGGGUUUUUUUCACUUCUCUGUAAAACUGUGCUUUCCAAAUGAGGAAUUUCUCAUGCUAGUUUGUUUCACUUAUUGUUAUCUAAUUAGGGCAGAUUGUUAGUUAACAAUUGCCUUAGUAACCUGUAGUCUUCUUAUAAGGUAGGUAUUCUGUGUUUUGUUUUCUGCAAUAUAUUUGCAGUUUUACAAUUUUCUCUUUGUUCCACUCAAAUUUUCUUUCCUUAAGAACUUAAAAAUCCUUACUGAAGCUAACUCGUAUUUGACAGAAUGUUAAACAGUUUUUUCCAGACUGCUUUUUGUUAGGUUUCUUUUCUGCUUACCUCAUGUAGUUUUCAGAUGAAGUUCCAUCUAGCCAAAUUAUUUUAGAGUUCUUAGAACAUAGACAUAAGGAUUAAUUUCAAGGAAUAUGCAAAACUAUCUUGGUGCUACACUAAGGGCUUGAAGUUCUGUGGAUUUUGCAUCUGCUUCUGGUUGAAAUUGCUCUGAACAAUCUUCUAGUUUCACUUAAAUAUAUGUACAGUACAAAUAGAAGAGAGAUUUUUUUAAAGUCAGUCAUAUUUAUUUUCUCCAAUGAUUUCAGCUCCUUCCACUCAGUAUUGACAACCUGGUCUAAAAGUCAAGGGACCAUUUUCUCCCUUAAACAUUUUUGCUAAUAUGAGAAAGUCUUUAUUAAUUUUUUUUUAAUUACUAAUUGCUUAAAUCACAUGAAGUAGUUACAAGUUGUGAAAUGCCAAAGGUACAACUAAGAAAACUCUUGGGUGAUUUUAAAAUUGUUCAGGCUUUGUUCAUGAGCUUGAGCUGCUUUGUUUUUUACCUAAAUCUCCAGAAGAUUGUGCAGGAUGGUCUUUUGAGUACUUGUACUCUAUAAAACAGCUAAAUAUUCAACCAGGAAGUAGCUGCAAAUUAUUUUUGUUGAUUGAAGUGAUGCUGAUGAAUAUGUUGUUUGUGCAAGUGCUGUAGAAUGAAGAGCACUGUUUUAAAUAACAUUGCUGUAGGCAGCUUGUGUUGUAUUCUCUGCUCCUGAUAUUCUGUCAAAUACGAUAUUCUGUCAAAUAUGAUAACAUGAAAUCAAACCUUGUAUCAAAUUUUGAUAAAAACUUUGAUGAAUCAAAGUGAUACAAAUGCUUGGAGUAGUGGGCCACAGGAAUAUAGUCUCUUGUGCUUAAUUUACUGCUUGUAAAAUGUAUUUGAGAAGUAUUUUCUAUAACUUCAUUAGCCAGUUAGAAUAUAAAAUGUGUGGUGUGGUAUGUUAAAAUGCAUUUUGUCUGUCUGUUCCAUUAAAUUGUCUGUCGACUUGUCAGUCACUAAAAUAUUAAGAAUGCUGGAUCACAUACAUCACUUGUACAGUAGGAAUCAUUGCUAAUUUGUUUGGUCUCCCAUUAGUGAUUCUUGUGUCAAGGCACUGGAUGGAACAGUUCUAAAGAAACAGCAGAUUUCUGACAGAGCCUAAUUUGGAGGAUAGGCUCGUUGUGUUUUUAUUUCCUGCCUCCCAAACUUCUCACUUUUCCCAUACAGUCCUAGAAUGCUGUGCAGCCCAGAACAGGAUUUCUUCCCAAGCAGUAAUCAAGUGAAAGACAUUGAGAGACCCCUCUGAGUCAGCAGCUGUUACAGCAGGGUGGUUCCCUGAUGUUCUGAAGUGUAAGAGGAGGGGAUGGAACAGGUUCCUGGCUGUCGAUAAGUUUUGCCUCCCCCAGGCUCAGGCAGUGUGGAGGUUUCCUGCUGGGACACGGCUGUGCUGGGUUCCCAGGCUGGCUGUGCUCCACAGGGCUCUGCUGGAGCAGCCUCUGGACACAGGCAGCAUUCCCAGCCUCCCGAGGCACAGCACUGAAACUUCAGCUGCAAAACAGGCAUAGAAACCUCUGGUUGUUUUAAUUUAUGGUGAUGGAAAUAGCUGUAGCUGUGUGCUGAUUACACAGCAGGCAUGAAUUGGCCUCUGUUUCCAAAGGUCUGAAUGAACUGCAGGUACCUACAUGAAAUUAGUGCAUUAGUCCUUUAAAGAGGUAAAUCUGCCUGCUCUUGCAACACUUCUAUCUUUUGCUCUCAUAGACUUUUCUCCUCACCUCCCAGUACAAAUACAAGUUCCCAGUCAGCCAAACUUUUUUUUUAUUGUUACUUUAGAUCAUGGAGUUCAACGGAUCCCUUCUAUGCCAACGACAGGAGCAUCCUGACUCUCUCCACAAUGGACUCAGCCACUUGCUGACAGGGACAUUUUUGAGUGCCUUGUGGAAGCCCUGUGGCGCUCACACACCUGUAGCAGGUGCUGAGGCGAGCUCAGUGUCCGGCGCUGCCCCAGGAAAGCCCAGAGGACUCCUGAGUGCAGCCAGGGCUUGCCUGGCCUGGCAAAAUCUGCACUGCAAUUGCUUCCAGGAAUUUUUCUAAUUAUAUCUACAAAUUGCUAAAUAAGUUUUUUGUUUUUUGGGGUUUUUUUUAAGGAAUGCUUUUACCUCAGACCAUUUGAUCCUUUUUGUUGCUGUAUGAGCAGAUUGGAAUCCUACAUUUAAUACUGGAGAUACCCCUGUAGGGCAAUGACAGAAAUCUUUCUCCUCCCAAAUUUGAGUGAUCCGAUUUGAAUCAAUUUGAAUCUGCACAAUUAAACUUUUAAAAGUUGUGUUUUUAAUGAUGACCCUUCCUUUUAAACACACAUUCAUUUUGAGCUGUCUUGCAGAUGCUGUCUUAGCAGUUUGUUACUUCUGUGGACAGUUACUCUAUUCUAUAAGCAAUCAUUUUAGUAAUUUUUGAGAGUUAAAUGCAAUUCAAAUAUUUAUGCUGGUGUAUGAGUGGCUAAUAUAUUAGUCAUUGCUUUGAAAAACACAACUGUGACAAAUCAGUAAUUUGUAAUAAUAAGGGAUAUAGCAGCUCAGUGUUCUCCUAAAGUCCAAUUCAGAAACCAGUCAUCUUUUAUUAUGCCCUGUAUGUUUUGUUAACAGUUCUGGAUCCUGACAUGGAAAAAUUUGUUAAGAAUUGGCGGGUUGAGCAGAAGUCUCACUAGCAUAAAUUUUUGAAUUAUUAAUCAUUUUAAAGUUGGGGAAUUUUUGCAUGUUUUGUUCUUUUUCAUGUAUUUAUAUUUGGUCACGUUGUACUUUGAAGAUAUAAUUAAUGCUUAAUUAUCUUCGUCUCUCGGAAGGAUCCGAGACCUUGAUGGCAAUGUUUUGAUACCUAAGUAUGCCAAUAAAAACCAAUUGCACAGUUGGAGCUCUGGGUGGUGCAUCCUGCAGGUGCCUCCCUGGCCCAGGACAGACCUGUCUGCAUGCUGGGGGCUGGGGAGCAGCAACAUUUCACUGUUCCCUCAGCCAGGGAGGCUGAACCACUGCUUGUCCUGGGAUGUGGGAGAUGAAGUGGAGGUGCCAUAGAACAGAGCUGUUCAUGGCUGGGGACUGGGAAAAGUGCUGCUGCUCCAGGACACCCCCUUUUGUCACCUCUGACAGUGACAUCCCAUCAAUAACUGGGAUACUUGUCCUUUCAGACACUUGAAAGUGUAAAGAUCCAUCUUAAAGUUAGCUCUGGGUAAAAACUGCAAAUCUGGGCCACUGCAAACCUGGCUGACUGUAACUGGGCUGCUGCCAGGGCAGUGCAUCCCUCCUGUCAUCCCCAGUUCUCCCAGGUUCAAUGAGCAGAGGAACAGGUCCUGCUUUCCAGGGAUCACAUCCUUCAGAUGUUCCUGACCUACAAACAGCUCUGCUGUUCAUUUUCCUGCCCGUGACUUUAACUGGGAUUAUUUCAGCUCUCCUCUUAGAGCUUUGUUUUUGCAUUAGUGCCUGGCAGCUUCUCUCAGACCUGAAGGCUGCAGGUACCGUGGAGUUUACAAGAUCUCAGUGCUCAAGGCAACAUCUGCGUGGGAAAGAAAUGGUCAUUGCAACUUCAUUGUUAAAUUUCUAGUGACUUGAACUUGCACACAAGGGAUUUUCCCCACUGUUACAGGUAAAGAUCAGUUGAGAAAUUAAGAAGCUUUAAAAAUAAAUUACGAGACAAGAAGAAGGAACAAAAUACAGCAAACUUUCCUUUUAAAUAAGUGUUUAAUUCAGCGUUCAUAGUGCAUUUUUGUAUCAUGUCCUCAGAUGCCUGAGUGCAGUGAAGCUUGAGGCUGAAAAUGUCAGUGUGCACUAGAUCCCCCCAGCGAGUGCCCAGGGGAUGAAGAAACACUAAAAUUGAGCUUUGUCUUCUCAUGCAGCAGGUAUGAACAUGUGACUAACCCCACUGCAUGGGGCUGAGAACCUGGAUCCAGCUGGAGAGGCAAUAAUCCAUCCAGUCCCCUCCAGAUCUGCAAGUAGUAGCAAAAUACAGUUUUCACCAACUCCUCUAACUUCCUUUAUAUUUCAUAUCUAUCUUAAACCUGGGUUUAAAAUAGUAAUUUUCUUCCUAGUAGUUUCUCUUCCUAGGAGUCUUCAUGCUGCCAUGGAUACCUAGGAAAUGCAGAAUUAUUUACUACUCUAAUCAGAUAUCUGCUGUUUGGCUGUAUUUUACACCUCAGCCAGAGUGUUUCACCUUUCAGCAGUGCUUGUUUGUCCGUGCCAGGCCCAGCAUUGUCCUGUCAGUGUGUGUGAGCGUGUGCCCUCAUCCCUCCAUCCAUCAGUGUGUGGUUCGUGUGUCCUGCCCUGAGCCUGUUCCUUGUGUGAGGGGAGCAGAGGCUUUGCCCAAAACCCCACUCCAAGCAUUUCCAGUGGCCCAGCUCUGUAGGUGAUGUAUUUUGGCUUUUACCACACCAGUGUGUUGAGUAGAUUUGCACAAAAGCAGUGCAGUCGUGUAUUUGAAGAAUAAUUUGCACUCAUGAUGUGUUUCUUUAAAACCUUCCAUCUCCUCUCCUCCCUUUCCCCCUGCUUUCCCUUUUCCCAGUGUUUGUAAGGUUACCGAAGAAACUUGCAUUUAAACAAUUCAGGAAGGACUUAAGAAUCCAUCCCUCGGCCAAGCUCAGUGCUGCUCCCAAGGCGUCAGGACCGGCUCAGAGCCCUCCGAGCCGCCUGUGCUGCUGCUCCUUCGGGGACCUUGGUGCCGCUGCUGCCGCCGCCCGGCUCCGGCUGAGCCGCUCCGCGUCCCCGCGGGGGAACAGCUCCGGGACACAAACGCGCAGCUCCCGCAGGCUCAGAGCGACGCUUGGCUCGGCUGUAAGAGACCCCGGCAGCACCUCCGAGGCCUGGGGCUUUAUUCAUCUCUCCUCAGCUGUUUUCAAGGAAAUUCCUUCAAACUGCAGCAGGUUCUCACCCUUUUACGUUUUGACAACAGGAUAAAAGAUGAUCUGUGGAGCGUGCAGUUGAAAAGGGUUAAAAAUGAGGCGCACAUUGCUCCAGGAGGAUCUUAAUUUGUAUCUCAAAGAAUAUAUUUUUACAAUUCCUAGUUGCAGUCCUUAUGACAGAUUUCAGGUUUUAUGCAUACAAAAAUAAAUCAUCAUCUAGCCUCCUGUUUUUUUACUGAAGAGGGAUUGAGCUUGCUUCUUUGCAGGAAAAAACAAAUGGUUUCAUCUCUGCAAGUAUCUUUUAAAAGCUGUUGAUCCUUAAUUUUAGGCAGAUUAGGGGUGUUGCCUACUGGAAAUGAGCAAUAAGUAAUACAAAGAAUUUUGGACCUCUGACACUGUGGCUGCCUCAUGUUCUUUUUGCUCCUUUGACAGCGAGGCUGUGUGCUUGCUCCUUGUACAGCUUGGUCAGUAGUUGUUUUGAAAAUGGUUUAUGGAAAUUAUAUUUAUUAAAUAAAAUUUUCACUUCUAGCUGA